GUGAGGAAUAUUGGACAAUGGGCGCAAGCCUGAUCCAGCCAUGCCGCGUGCAGGAAGACGCAUCUAUGGUGUGUAAACUGCUUUUGUACGGGAAGAAACACUCCCUCGUGAGGGAGCUUGACGGUACCGUAAGAAUAAGGAUCGGCUAACUCCGUGCCAGCAGCCGCGGUAAUACGGAGGAUCCAAGCGUUAUCCGGCAUCAUUGGGUUUAAAGGGUCCGUAGGCGGUUUAAUAAGUCAGUGGUGAAAGCCCAUCGCUCAACGAUGGAACGGCCAUUGAUACUGUUAGACUUGAAUUACAAGGAAGUAACUAGAAUAUGUAGUGUAGCGGUGAAAUGCUUAGAUAUUACAGGGAAUACCAAUUGCGAAGGCAGGUUACUACUUGUGGAUUGACGCUGAUGGACGAAAGCGUGGGGAGCGAACAGGAUUAGAUACCCUGGUAGUCC
rnacentral:rRNA from 1 species